GAAGUUAAAGCAAAGCUGGCUGGGGAAUUCUGGGAGUUGACAUCCGCCAGGCUUAAAGUUGCCAAGGUUGGAGACCCCUGUCAUAGAUGACAGCCCUCCCUACUAACGUAUUACAUUGUAUAAGUUCAGAGAAUAGUUUUUACCCUUCUCCAAAUGCAGUUUUCUUAUGUCCUGUGAUUUUAUUUUCUGUUUCAACUAUAACUUUCCAUGCAGUUAGAAGCCCUUGCUUUUGCCUGGAAAUAUUGUGGUCAAAAAGAUACUAGGGCACAGAUGAUUUUUCUUUCAUGCAGUAGUAUUGACAUAUCCUACUUGAUUGAUAGGUUGAUAUUUAUCUUAGACUUAGAUGGAUACCUAUGAGGGAGAUAGAUUUUCAGAAGAAAUGGCAAUUAACAGCUUUUGACUUGGAAUCCUAUCACUGCAAGUGUGAAAUAAUCUAUUUUGGCAUUUUAGAAGUAGAAGGAAAACUCUGGUGAAGAAAAUCAACUUGAUUAAACCAUCUUGUACUAAUUGACAAAUGUACUUCAGUAAUAUAUUCCUUAUCUUUUCCCCCAUAUGUGAUAAUUUUUUCUUCUUUGGAAUGCAAAUCUACCUUAGCAUUUUCACAGUCAUUAAUUAGUAUGAAUAAUUUUCUUUCCAAUUUGGUUAACAGUUCAAAAUCAGAUGUUUUCAAAUGUUCUCUAGAAGAUGUAAUACUGAAGUAGGAGAAUUUUUCAGGUAAGUUCUGUACUGGAAUAUUGCAUUUUGGAAAAGGAGCUGUCAGAGAUCAUAAUUCCUACUUCAAAAACAGCAUCCUAUUUCUUAAUUUCUUCAAAAAAAGACACAGCAUAACUGAAGUUGCUUUGAUCUUGGCACUCAGAUAAUUCAUUAUCUUGUUCAUGCUGUAUGUAUGUUUGUAACAGUUUUUGCCAAAAACAUGGUGUGCUUGAAAUAUUUGCAGUAUUCUAAAUUGUUUGCCUUUUUCUAGCCUAUUUGGCAAAUAUUGCCAAUGUAUGCAGUUUUUGGCGCUUUUUUCCAUGAUAAUUUCUCUGAAUACAAUGUAUUUUGGACACAAUUUCCGGAUGUCAUAUUUUUAAUAUUGUAUUUUUUUUCAUGUACUAACUGAUCUGCCACUGUCUUUGAAAUCCUGUUUACAUACUGCAUUGCAUUUACAUACUGCAUCAGCACAUUGCUGAUGAACUGGGAACAUAUUUAUUCCCAAGGGAAGAAAUUUCACCCUUAUGUUUUUCUCAUUUGUUCUGAUUACUGGUUUUUGUUUUUUGCAUGUGCCUCUGAACAACUAUUACAGAGCUAUUUGAUUUGUUUUUAUACACUUUGUGUCUUGCACUUUAAGUAAUUAUAAAAACAACCCACUCCCCCAAAUUCUAAACUAAAUGGUACUCACCUGUCUUAAGAAUUCAUUAGGCAAAUAUCCCAUUCUAAUAUUGUUGGUGGUUCAAGUGAUGUCCAUUGUUGAAACUGACAUAAAAUCUCAUUACAAGAAAAAAUACGUGUCUUUGGGAGAUUUGAAAUCUUAUCCUUGACUUUUAACAAGAAGAGUUAUUUGGCAUCUGGUUUUCUUGUGGAUUUCUCCAGCUCAUGUGAACACUUAGGGGAUUGUGUGGCUAAAAAGGCUGACUAAUUUUGUUGCUAACUUGGUGAGUGAUGAUGUAUCAUGACUCUUUUCCAACGCUUCUUUUUUAACUUACCAAUGGAAUCAUUUUUUGGUUCUAUUUUGCAAUGCUUGUCAUUGAUAGAAAUGUACAUUCAGGUGUGGACUUACUCUGAAAACAUCACUCAUUAUUAUAGGUUUUAUAGGGAUUGACGUAAAACACUGCAUGUUUUCACAGCAGGAUUUUUAGUCAUUGAAAGAAAAUCGUUGGCUUUAUGAGAACUCCACUGUUAGCCUGAAAAUUUUGAUUGAUUUUUUUUUUUCAUUAGAAAUGUUAGUGGGCCGCUGGCUUUAAUUAUGAUAGCGUAUUUUUUUUCCUGGAAGCUGUAGAACAUUUAUUAGGAUUAAAUGUAUUAGGAUUAAAAGACAUUAGGGCAAAUGUCAAGCAAAUUCAUAUAUGUUUAAACCCCAUGAUUUUAGUCGGAGGAUCUUUUUUAAAUUUGCCAUGGAAAUCAUUGCAAUAUAAAAAUGCUUAAAUUUUGCUGGAGAAUGCUUAGCUUUUUAUAUUGCUGCCAGAAAGCAUUUUAAUAAUAUGUAUCUGGAACAGAAGGAUGUAAAAAUCAAACAUAGGCCGGCCCUGGUGCAUAUUAUUUUAAUUUCUUGCUUUCUGUGGCAAAUCCAAAUCUGUUUGGGUAUGACAAUAUUUCUAUUGCUCAAUAAAGUUCAAAGUGAUUUUUUGCUAUGUUAAUUGUUGUCAGUAUUUCCCCACUAUCAAGCAGUUGUACUGUAAAUAAACACCUGUUCCUUUGAUCAGAGGUAUUUAACUUGAUAACUAGCUGUAAUUUUUGCAGCCAGACAUUGAGAUGCAAUCAUAAAAUUUUUGUCUUUUGCAUUUUUAAGUGUAUUAGUUUUUUUAAAAAAAUAGUUUAAUUUUAGGUUUAAGACUGUUUCUAUGCAUGAUCAAUUCUAAAAAAUGCUUAUUUAGCAGUUCUUUGGAAGACAGAAUUAGUUUUGUCAAUUUGACAGAUUUGGGGCAAGGAAAGUUUAUAUAAUAGUUAACCAACCUGUCUUAUGUAUGAUGUCUUCAGGCAAUUUGUUCAGAUGAGCUUCAGUGAUAUUUUCCUUUUUGGAAGCAAUACUCAGAUUGUCUAAGAAACUGCUAGGUGGGGUGUGAGUAAUCCCUCUUAGAUAAUGCAUAGUUUUAACCUUCUGUGUAGUUUGAAACAUAAACUGGAAACUUGACAUGAUAGAUGAAUAAUGCCUGUUACUUUAGAUAAUGCAGUUAUUACAUGGGAUAAUAUUUAAAAUGUCUCCAUUGAGAGUACAUCUACUGAGAUUGAGUAGUAGAAAUUAGUAGUAUACUCGUAAGCUUUUUAUUGAUGCUAACUCAGCAUGGCUUCCAGAAUGGUUGCUGUUCCUGAUGAGCUUUAAUAGUGAAUUCCUAGAUUAUCUCAUGAUAAUUAUACUGCUUUGAAACAAAUCAAAGCUAAUGGUUUAAAAUAAAAAAGCAGAUACCCAUGUUCCUCUAAGAAAAACAUAAACCUGGUAUUUUAAGCCUUUUUCCCAUAUAACAUUCAGGAAGAUUUAUUGGUAAGGAUGUAUGCAAAGGAUCACACCCUUUAAAGGUCUCCCUGGUUCCCAUCUUUGACCACUGGUCUUCACCGAUUGAUUAGUACACACUAUUACAUCACAGAGUCCCAUGCAGGAAAGGAUUCUGAAACUCCUUGGGUAAAGUAAUGUGUCAUUAAAAAAAACCCACAGUUGAUCACUUUCAAGAAAAGAUCUACAUAUUAACCUAUAACAAGCAUGUCUCCUUCUGAAAUUUGAUACAGAUGAGUUAUUUUUCUUGCUUAGGAGCAAGAAAAGUAAUGUUUUUAGAAGAAUAAGGUCAUUCAACCAUUUGAGAAGUGAAAUAAGUUUUGACAAGUUUGGGAUUUUCUUUUCAGUCUCUUUUGGGUUCUACUUAAAAGUGGCUUAACAAUUUUGACUUUUGGAUGGUUUUCUUGAAGCAGAAAACCUUCUAGAAUUAGGUUCCUGGAGGUAGAUUGAACUCAAUGCUGGUUCACGCAAGUAGAAAGAAUGUAAUGGGAUUGAAGGAAAAAAAAACACAAGAUGUGUGUCUAUAUGAAAUUAACCCAUCACCAAUCAGCUCAAGCAAUUUUGUAGUUGCUUAAAAUUUGGAGUAGGGGUUACUUUUAUUCUGAAAAUAAAUAUCAGUAUUCCAAUUAGGCUAUCUUUUCUUGCUUUCUUAUUGAAUUCUACCCCUCUCAGAUAUGACAGUACUGCCAAUGGCCUCACAGUCUAUCUGAAACCACCAUAAUUACAAAUAUAUUCAAAUGAAGCAUUUGAAAUAGUACCAAAUAAUUCCAUUUUAAAUAACAAAUCAUAGGAAAGGGGCAUUCCUGUGCCUUUAAAACAGACAUGCAAGUUAAGCCUUUCAUAUCUUGCUAGUGUACCACUUAGUUUUAGAGCUAAGAAUGAUACAGGGUUUGUUGUACAGUUUUUGAAAUAUUAUCUGAAGGCAGAGAUGGUCCUGCCAUGAUGGUAGUGCAGUUAAAGGUCAGACAACUGACCAAGUGUAAUUCCAAAAACACUAACUGCAGGAUAUGAUCAUAUGAUGAAAGAGGUAAGUGGACUUGUCUGAUUCUGUUGUCUCUUAAUUGCUUAGCAGUUAACAUUUGUGAUAUGGGGGCAGCUAAGCAUUGCAAAAAACAUGGCCUUAUUAAAAAAAUGGUUGAGAUGAUCCUUUCAGAAGCUGUUGCAAAACUGAGAAUCAAAAUAAAUGGAUACUUCUCUUAGCAAGAGGAUAUAAAGCUUGAAGGGGAUUGAUCUCUCCAGACUUCCGUAUUGAAACCACUGGUUCUUAAUUUCAUAAAUAAUCUGAAAUUCGUGAUUGCUGAGGACACCAAAUUCUUUAGUGUUUUCUCAAACAAACGGUCCAAAAAACAAACCAACCCCUGAACAGCAAA